UUCUCAAAGCAUCAUUCAGAUAUCCUUUGAGCUGAGCACACGAUAUGCACAUCAUGAAUACAUAUAAUCACUGCAUGGUCCUUUGUGAAGAUUUUGAAAAUAGCAUCUAAAAGCUGAUCGUGGGUCUCCAUCUGAGGACAUGCACUUGACCAAUGACAGCUGCAAGACCAGUGAUACCAAGAACAGUGAGCAAGUACUGAUGAACCUCCUCCCUCAGCCUUCAGGAACUCCUGGAUGCCAAUGGGCACUGCAUACAGAGGGGGUCACCUAAGCACUUGCGAAGAAGAAUGGCACUGCAAGUUCAUUCAAGGAAGGAAAGACCAGAAAGUCAGACUUAAAAAGGUCCUCUCAUGGCAGAUUUUAACACC